ensembl:snRNA U6 U6 spliceosomal RNA
GUGCUUGCUUUGGCAGCAUAUAACUAAAAAGGGGAACAAUAUAGAGAUUAGCAAGGCCCCUGUGCAAAAACAACAGUUAAAUUCAUAAAUCAUUUCAUGCUUUU